GGGAUAUGUGGAACGUAACCAAGUGCUUUUACCUCCAAAUGAAGCUUAUAGAUUGUCUGACACUCAAGAACAAAAACAAAGUCUUUCUGUGGGUGAUAGCCACAUGAACUCAGUCAAUACUAUGUUGUUAAAGAAGUCUCGAGAAAAUGGCUAAAUCAUGCUGACUUAAUUGUGGAAAUGGAGGAUUUCAUAAUGGUAAUUUAGGAAAAAGCCAUUUACAUCAGAAAUUAGAGAAGGCAUAUACUUCAGGAUCCUUGGUUUAGCAAUCAGAGCAGAUUAAACAGAUGGAAUAGACAACAUAUUUCAUCAGGCUGUAAGAACUUAAUACCUACCAAAUGCCUAAUAAGACGCAAUCAAAGAACUGGAAACAAAGAGGAUGAUUUUCAAGUGGGGAAUGAUGGAGAAAAUUAUGGUAUAUGAAUAAAACAGUAUAAUAUUGAGCUUUAAAAUAAAAAGGUCUUUCAAUGCAAGACUUGGAGAUGACCCUAAAAAUAAACUAGAACUUUUUCUUUUUAUAGGUGAGGGAAAUGACCUGUCUAAAUUUAUAAUUAGCUCUAUUGAAAGGGACAGUUUCAAGAAAAACCUUAGAAGACUUGUGUGAACUGAAAUAGAGUGAAGUAAGAACCAAGAGAAUAACAUUGUAAAUGUUGCUCACAUUUUGAAAUAAUUUUAAAAGACUUAAGUUUUCUUACCAAUGCAUGGACCAACGACAAUUCUAGAGGAACAACGGUAAAGUAUGCAAUCCACCUCCUAACAGAGGGGUACAUGAGAAAAGAUACUUAAUGAAACCUCUGUUCUUGAACAGGGUCAGCCAGAGUGGACAUUUUUCUUUGAUCAAUCACCUUUGUUACAAGGGUUUUUUCUACAUUUUUAAGUUAGGAAAGUGGUAUGGAAGUGGAAAAGAAAAUAAAUAUUUAUUCAUUGACAACAUGAAGGAAAAAAAUGUUCAGGACCUUGUAGCUAAGAGUAUAUAAUCGUUGCUUGCUAUAUAUCAUGAAUUGAUAGAUGACAAAUCCCCAUCCUACAAAAACAGAUCCCAAAAUAUCUUUAAGUUGAUAUCCAUAUCAACUUUACAGGAGUUGAGCUUUUGUCAGUAACCAAAUGCCGCUUAUAAUUGCUCAGAUCUAACAUUGAUUCUAAAUAAAUUAGUAGGACUGCCAUGCCAAAUAUGAAAAAUUUCUAAUCUACAUGGAAAAUAAACCUUUCAAAAUAUAAUGACCUAAAAAAGAUGAUCAUGAUUGUAUGGGAAUAGGACAUAUCAAUAAUUUUGUCCCGCUUCUUCUGGAGUGGUAUUAAGAAUAAUUUCAUCAAAUCUAUAGAAUAUGGAUUUUCAUAUAUUCUUUAUCUACCAAAAGCAAUUAUAGUAACCUACUAUAUAAUAAUCUGUAGAACAUUAUAUUUACAAGACUAUUACUAGGAGAGCUAUUAAUCACAUCAGAAAAAAAAUGAGAAUGAGUGAAGAAAUGGAAAAUAAAGAAUAAGAAGGAGCAAAAAAGGAAAAGAAGGAGGAAGAAGGGUAGUGAGGUGGCUCAGAGGAUAGAGCAUGAGUCUUGAAGUCAGGAGGAUCGGAGUUCAAAUCUGGCCUCAGUUACUUAACAUUUCCUAGCUAUUUGACCCUGGGCAAGUCAUUUAACCCCGACUGCCUCAGGAAAAACAAAAAAGGAGGAAGAAGAAGAAAAAAAGGAGAAGGAAGAAGGAGGAUGAGGAAGAAAAAGAGGAGAAUAUAGACAUAUAUAGAUAUAAUAUAUAAAAUAUAUUUAAAUAAGCAGUCAUUAAUAUCUAUAACCAAGUAUGUGGAAUGCUGAAUGAGGUGAGAUUUUGGAUUUUAAAGAAAGGGACAAAGUAGUAUUUUAACAGGAAGGAUCCGAUGACAAAGGCCCAGAGACUAAGUAUAUGUAUCUCAGUAGAUAGGAGGACAGAAAUAGGUGUCUGGCUGGAGUGAUACAUGUAAUAGAAUGACAGCAGAUGGGUGAGUAUUCAAAAGCUUUGAAGGUCACAGGGAGAAUUGUCUAUUUCAUCUGAAAGGAAAUGGAAAGCCACAGGAGAAUCCCGAGUUGUUGAGUGAAGGCUGAAACGGCAGUCAAAGAAAAUGGUCUAACAAUCAAUGUGCCUGAAGGAGUUGGGGUAAGCAAAGACUAAGAGAUCAGGGGAAAGAAGGAUGUUAUGUUUCCCAUUCCAGUUGCAAUUUAAUAUUAUUGGAGAAAAUGGAGAUUCAGAAAAAAAAAACCUAGAUUCUCAUAAUUCAUAAGAAAACUUGAAGCUCUGAUACUUUGACUGAGUUAAAGUCAAUAUGCACCAUCAUAAUAAAUAAUAAUAAUGCAUUCGCUGCAGUCUUUUGGAAAAUCAUAGCAACAGGAUUAUGCAUUCAGGUUCUAAUCUAGGUUCUGCUGUCAGAGACAAAUCCCCUUCUCUCUAACUUAAUUACAUCAUAGAAAUAGAACCACCUAUUCCAUCUACUUAAUAAGGUAGAGGAGAAAAAACUAUUAUGAUACAUUAUUUUCCACCUUGCAUUGUAUGGCAAAAGUAUAUUUCCAAUAUAUUUCACAAACAUUCACAUGUAAAUUAAUAUAUGCAUAAUUUUGUUUGCUUGCAUUGUUUGGCAAGGCAAUUGAGAUUAACUGACUCAUUGUCAAGUGACUAGGAAAUGUCAAGUGACUGAGGCAAGAUUUGAAAUCAGAUCCUCCUGCCUCCAGUUCCAGUGUUCUAACCACAGAGCAACCUAGUGAUACAGACCUACACCUCUAUAUUUGUCAACAUAGUGAGCUCUAUAACAACAUGCCAUCUUGCUUUUCUAGUUGCAUUUUUAUCAUUCUGCUGUAAAUGUUAAAUUUUAUUGCUGUUGUUGCUACUGUUUUUAGUUUCUUCAUCCAUCAUUAUUCUAUGAUCCAUUUUACUCUAUGGCAGAUCCCAAACCAGCCCUGGGCUGGGAAUUAGAAUUUUGAAAUUUGAAUCCCAAUGCUCCAUAAAUUUGCUCUUCAACAUUUAGGUAACUAUUUUUUUUUCCUUUUCUGAUCUUCAGGUACUUGUGUGAUUUCUGUACCGAUCAUUCUAGACUUCUACAACUUUUGAAUCUAUUGGGCCAGCCUUACCCUGUCACUACUCUGUUCCCUUGAAUUUUCCUUUUAUGAUCUGAUUCUUCUUUCUCUCAUUCCUUGUCCUCCUAUGCUGAGUCUUCAACUUCUCUUAUCUUAAAGAUAUAUGUUCUCCCUAAAUAUUUCUCUUGUCACUCUUCUCUCUCUACAUAUUCUUUUUUAGCAAUAGUUUCCAUGGCUUCAACUUUUACCACUCUGCAAAUGACUCCAAAAUCAAUAUUUCCAGCCCAUAUCUCUUUCUUCCAAUCUCCAGACAUAUAUCUACAGUAAGACAUCAUCAUGCAGACUCAAGAUAUAAUCUAUUUUCAGACCUCAAAUAGCACUUUGUUUAGUAAUUCCUCAUUAAACUUACUAAGUGCUCUUCUGUUGAAUGUCUAUAUAUGUUGUUGUAUUCUCUACAGACUUUGGAGACUGGUGUUUUUCUUUGAUCUAAACGUUGCAUCUCAUUCAUUGUUAGCCAUAUAAUCUGGGCACAAAAGAUACAUAGCUUUUGUUGAUUAGAUGACUUAAAAUAUCUUCUUGUUCUAAAGUUCUAAAGUGUGAAAGAAACUUUUGGAGAGGAAAUGAAUGGAUAAAAGUAUUUAUUUAGGAUUCAUUGUAUACAGAGCCCUAGUGAUGUGUUGGAUAUACAAAAAAAGAAAAAAAAAAGAAUUUUCUUUCUAGGAGUUCAGAUCAUAACCUAAAGGAGACACCCAAGUUGGAUAUUCAGUUGCAGGGCAGAAGGAAAGAUCCAGUGGCUGGGAGAGAGACAUUAAAUUAGAAGUUUCAAUUAUUCGAAAAGCCAAAGAAUCUUCCAAAUUUAAUAACUCAUGAACAUUUCAUAAAAUAAUUAAAGAACCACAUCUAUUCCAGGGAAAUUCAUUCCAAUAGAACCAACUGUUGAAAACCAUUUGUAGCCUCCUGAAAAGAUGGGAUGUGGUUUCUGUAAUGCAUCUCCUUCCUUCCAUUUCAAAAAGAAUAUUGAGUCAAUAAAACCUCACAAUCAAAUUGUACUAUCAAUGAUAUCAAAGGCAAUCAAUAGAGCUAAAAUAAUAAUUUUGAUCAUUUUACCUCUUGUCCAUCAUAGUUCAACCACCAGUGCUCAUAUUGGUCCCAUUCUGAGCUAAUGGCCCUAAAACUGCCUUCAUUAUGAUAUCACUUUUUAAUAUCAUUUUAUCAAAGUCAGUGUAUUCAAGAACAAUCAUUUUAUAUAUUUAGAUAUUUAUAUCUAUCAAUCUACAUCUCUUGAUCAUUUUUUUAAAAAAAAAAUCUCUCUUCCAUUAUCCUAUAACCUAAAACCAUUUGGUUAACAUUAAUUUGUAAACCUUUUUAAAAACCAGUUUUAAAUAUUAAAAAAAAUGAGUGAAAGCAAAAGGGACAAGGAAUAUAACUCAAAGCAUGAGAAAUCCAUUUCCAGAUUUCAAAUGUAUAUGGAAGAAUAAUUGUAAUUCUGAAAGUAAUGGAGAUGGUUGAGCAUUGUUUUGGAAUGUUUUUGCACUUAAAAAAAAUUGUACCCAUGGAGAUGAGAGGCAAAUGCAAGAUGGACAAUGGUGAAGUCAGUGUUAGACGUGUGAAAUUUACUGAGUGUGAUAGUCCAGAUCUGUAAUACUCCCCUAUUGAAGAUGCUAAGAUUGGUGAAUCUCUGAAGCUUGGAUAUCUUAAAUUGCAAUAAAGCUAAACCCAAUGAGGUUUCCACCAUAAGGCUGCGAUAAACAUGGUGAGUACCAGGAUGGAGGUUCAAGGCUACCUCACUCAGAAACAAAGUAGCAGUUCAAAACUUUUGUGCCCACCACCUGUAGAACCAACACUAAAACUUCUCCACCUCCAGCAUAAGCUAAAGAUUUCCAGUCUUCAAAAAGAAUGAUUGAAUAAAUGAAUAAAUACACAAAUAAGCAAAAAGACAGAUAAAUUAAUAAAUAUGUACAGUAAUCAAUGAAUGAACAAAUAUGCAAAUAGAUGAAUGAAGAAAUAAAUAAACAAAUUCAUGGUUAAAUAAAUAAAUUGGAUUGAAAUGUGAAAGUGGGAAAUACAAGGUAAAAUGCUAAGGGGAAUUCUGGAAAAGGUCAGGUAAAACAUUUAGCUUUAACAGUAAACCUUACAAAUCUGUGAUUGUAAGCAAACAUGGAUGAGAUCUCAGUGUAAUAAUUUGUGGACCAACAAAGUUGUCAAUUCUUCUUGUUGAAGCCAUCCCCUGUAAGCGUCACUACUCUGUUAUUUACUUGGUAAUGAGAAUUUCCUGGCUAUCAGAAAAUAUAGGUUCAAAAAGGGGUAGUAGAUAGAAGUUAUAUUUUAAUUUUAAAAAAAAGAUUAGAAAUUAUUGGAAAUGGGAGGAUUUGGUAUUACAAUGUAUGAAAUGCUCUGGAUAGAGCCUAUGGAAAGUGAUCCUUUCUCUUUUACACAAAGUACUUAUACUAUUAGUUACAAGGACAUAGGAAGAUUAUAGGAACAGCUGUUUAACUGGCACAGCCAUUCCAACAGAAAAGGACAUAAUUUCCUUUAAUUUGAUUAAUUUCUUUUGGUGAGUUUCCAAAGAUUUCCUAGUAGAAAUGCACUGAUGUCAUAGGCAGAAUAAUAGCUAAUAAUAGUUUACAUUUAUAAGGGGUUUACUGUGCCAGGCCCUGCUCUAAGUAUUUUACACUUCAUAUUUCACUGAUCCUCACAACAACCUUGGGAUGUAGAUGCAAUUAUCACCACUAUUUUACAGGUGAGGAAAAUGAGACAAAUAAAGUUUAAGUUACUUGCCUAGAGUGACACAAUUAGUGUCUGAGGCUGGAUCUGAACUGAGAUCUUCCUGAAUCUAUUCACAGUGCCCUCUUUACUCUGGCAUCUGUCUUCCUCUGAAUGACAAAAAUCAAAAAAUAACAACAAAAACCCAACCCAACUCAACCAACCAAGGGUAUCCUGUCAUAGCUACUAAUGAUUGUCUCCAAUAUAACCAUUAGUGUUAUUGGGACUAAAAGCCCCAGAUUAAAUUGGAUGGAAAAACUAACAUUUGCAUGCCAUUCUUAAAUAGCAAUAAUUAACAAUAAUAACAAAAAUGUCACUUUGCUGGAAACAUAAUAGCUUAUUUUUGACUAUACUCAGAGAAUGUUAGACAAUGUUGAAAAUAAGUCUAUUUCAUAAUUCCAAGAUUUCUUCCAACUAACCCAAAGAAAAGACUGUCAUUAUAACUUUCAAAUGUCCCUGAAUAUGUCACAAGAAUUAAUUUUCACAUAGAAGUAGUCCAAGAAGACUACAGCCUGUCCAUUGCAAACCACUACUUCUACCUAUUUAAAUCUCCCAUGUUAAAUGUUGAAAACUUUGAAUUGAUGGCCUUUAAAAGGUAACUUAUGACUGACCUUCCACAUGAAAAUUAUCAGGGGACAAACAGGUCACAUGACAUUGCAUGCCAGCAUGUCAAAAGGGCUUAAUGCAACUUUCAUUGCAUACUCUUCAAUGCAAAAAGACACUAUUAAAUCCUCCAAGCAGAAAAAGUCUUUUUUUUUUUUUUUUUAAUGAAUGACACAAAUUCUUAUACAGACUUGUCCAAGGCUGGUCCUAUGUCCAGGCAGAUUAAAAAACACACCUAUCUGCUGUUGAUUUGAGAGGAGCUAAAGCUCAUGAUAACAACAAUAAAAGUAUCCCAUAUAGAUACAUACAGAAAAUUCCCAUGGGACUGUACUUCUUUGGCUCAAACAAAACCAAAUUACAGGUAAACUGAUAUUACUUCACAGUAUGAUUCUGGGAAAGUAAUUUAAUUAACCUCACUGGGCUUCAGUGUCCUCAUUUGUAAAAUUAUAGAAUCUCCCAAGUCCAUUUUAUAUCACAUAUCCUGCCAUUCUGAGUUUCUGUCUUGAACACAAUAAGCCACUAACAUCUUGGGACCUGUUAGUUUCUUUUUUUUUUUUUUUUAAUUUUAUUUAUUUAUUUAUUUUACUUUUUUUUUUUUAUUUUUAUAGCCUUUUAUUUACAGGAUAUAUGCAUGGGUAACUUUACAGCAUUAACAAUUGCCAAACCUCUUGUUCCAAUUUUUCACCUUUUACCCCCCACCCCUUCCCCUAGAUGGCAGGAUGACCAGUAGAUGUUAAGUACAUUAAAAUAUAAAUUAGAUACACAAUAAGUAUACAUGACCAAAAUGUUAUUUUGCUGUACAAAAAGAAUCAGACUCUGAAAUAUUAUACAAUUAGCUUGUGAAGGAAAUAAAAAAUGCAGGUGGGCAUAAAUAUAGGGAUUGGGAAUUCAAUGUAAUGGUUUUUAGUCAUCUCCCAGAGUUCUUUCUCUGGGCAUAGCUGGUUCAGUUCAUUACUGCUCCAUUGGAAAUGAUUUGGUUGAUCUCCUUGCUGAAGAUGGCCUGAUCCAUCAGAACUGGUCAUCAUAUAGUAUUGUUGUUGAAGUAUAUACUGAUCUCCUGGUCCUGCUCUUUUCACUCAGUAUCAGUUCGUGUAAGUCUCUCCAGGCCUUUCUGAAAUCAUCCUGAUGGUCAUUUCUUACAGAACAGUAAUAUUCCAUAAUAUUCAUAUACCACAAUUUAUUCAGCCAUUCUCCAACUGAUGGACAUCCAUUCAGUUUCCAGUUUCUAGCUACUACAAAAAGGGCUGCCACAAACAUUUGUGCACAUACAGGUCCCUUUCCCUUCUUUAUAAUCUCUUUGGGAUAUAAUCCCAGUAGUAACACUGCUGGAUCAAAGGGUAUGCACAGUUUGAUAACUUUUUGAGCAUAGUUCCAAACUACUCUCCAAAAUGGUUGGAUUCAUUCACAACUCCACCAACAAUGCAUCAAUGUCCCAGUUUUCCCGCAUCCCCUCCAACAAUCAUCAUUAUUUUUUCCUGACAUCUUAGCCAAUCUGACAGGUGUGUAGUGGUAUCUUAGAGUUGUCUUAAUUUGCAUUUCUCUGAUUAAUAAUGACUUGGAGCAUCUUUUCAUAUGACUAGAAAUAGUUUCAAUUUCUUCAUCUGAGAAUUGUCUGUUCAUAUCCUUUGACCAUUUUUCAAUUGGAGAAUGGCUUGAUUUUUUAUAAAUUAGAGUUAAUUCUCUAUAUAUUUUGGAAAUGAGGCCUUUAUCAGAACCUUUGACUGUAAAAAUAUUUUCCCAGUUUAUUGCUUCCCUUCUAAUCUUGUCUGCAUUACUUUUGUUUGUAGGGACCUGUUAGUUUCACAGAACAGCAAUGGGGGGAAAAGGAAGCCAAUUUAAUAUGCUAGAAAGUUGAGCUUUAAUGAAUGAGGAAAAAUUGGCAGAAAGAAAAGAAGGCUUUAAGGUGAAGGAAAUUAAUGGGAAAAGACUUGGAUCGGGAAUCAAAUAUUGGGGAAUUUGGGGAGAAGCUGGAGAGAAAGUGUUAAACAGCAAGAGGAUAUUGAGGGGGGGAA
rnacentral:lncRNA from 1 species